UACAGAGGGGGCAAGCGUUGUUCGGAAUUACUGGGCGUAAAGGGCGCGUAGGCGGCCCGCUAAGUCGAACGUGAAAUCCCUGGGCUCAACCCAGGAACUGCGUCCGAUACUGGCAGGCUUGAAUCCGGGAGAGGGAUGCGGAAUUCCAGGUGUAGCGGUGAAAUGCGUAGAUAUCUGGAGGAACAUCCGGUGGCGAAGGCGGCAUCCUGGACCGGCAUUGACGCUGAGGAGCGAAGCCAGGGAGCAAACGG
rnacentral:rRNA from 1 species